CAUAAGUGUGUCACACAGAUAGCACUCCGGGUGCAGCUAUUCGCUAGCAACUUUAUACAUUGCCAUUUUCUUAUAGUUAACGCCGUGUGUUGGCCCAAUAGAUAGGUGAGGUGUUGAGCCACGCACACUCUCGCCCCUCCUCGUCCCCCCCUCUCCCCAUCAGUCAGCUGGGCUUGUUAUGGUGGGUUCUGUUCUGUAUGUUUUUAUCCGUGUUAACGUGGUAACCUGAGUAGGACGGCAGAAAAGCUAGCCUCUAUGACAUUACAGCAAUCAUGCAAUAAUUGUAGCAAACAGACAGGAUGUCUUGGCUGGGGGGUGUCUUCCAGGCUGUGGAGGAGUGGGCAGGUCUCGGACAGUUGGAGGACUACCUAAGUUUUUUAGAGUACCUGCUGUGGGUCUUCACUCCUCUGGCCAUUGUCUUCAUUGUGCCAUUCCUCAUCGUCAUCCUGCUGUACCUGUCCAUACUCUUCCUCCACGUAUAUAAGAGGAAGAAUCAACUGAGGGAAGCUUACAGCAACAACCUGUGGGAUGGAGCCAGGAAGACAUUGGCCUCGCUGUGGGAUGGACAUGGAGCCAUAUGGCAUGGCUACGAGAUCCAUGGACUGGAGAAGAUCCCAGACCAAGGGCCGGCCCUCAUUGUCUACUACCAUGGUGCCAUUCCCAUUGACUAUUAUUACUUCCUGGCAAACCUGAUCCUCCAGAAGGGACGGACGUGUCACUCUGUGGCUGAUCACUUGCUCUUCAAAAUUCCAGGGUUCAAGUUACUUCUUGAAGUGUUCAGUGUGAUUCAUGGUCCUCAGGAGGAGUGUGUGCGGGCUCUGAGGAACGGUCAUUUGUUGGGGAUUUCUCCAGGAGGUGUGCGAGAGGCUCUUUUCAGCGACGAGACUUAUCCUCUCUUCUGGGGCAAACGAAGGGGCUUUGCCCAAGUCGCCAUAGACUCACAAGUGUUAUUCCAAUGUUUACUCAAAAUGUGCGUGAAGGCUUCCGGUCCCUGGGGAGACUCAGAUUUUACCGCUGGCUCUACGAGAGGUUCGGUCUUCCCGUGGCUCCCAUCUAUGGUGGAUUUCCUGUGAAAUUCCGGACAUUCCUGGGAGAUCCCAUACCAUAUGACCCCAACAUAAAUGCGACAGAACUGGCAGAGAAGGUGCAGCAGGCGGUCCAGGCCCUGAUAAACCAGCACCAACAGAUUCCAGGAAACAUCCUGAGAGCCUUGUUGGAGAGAUUCCACACCACGCACAAAGAUCAGUAACACGAGCAGACCACGUGAUGACAUCACUGUAGUCCACUGCAGUCAGUGUGAAGAGCUCUGGAGUAUUUCUUCACUGAUUAUUUAUGUGAGGAGAGUAUAUAUGUAUCUAUAUAUAUAUAUUUUUUUUUUAAAGUGCAUGUUUUUAACAUGUCUUUGUGCAUUCCUUUUGAAUUUUAACUGAUAUUUGGUUGUUCACAGGAUCAAACUUGAAUGUUCUGAUAUUUGACUUGACAUUAUGGUAACCCACACAUGACACGUGGUACAAAAAAAAAAAUCAGUCCAACUUGUUCCCCUAUUUCCUGUCAUCUCUGAAUUUAAAGUUCACACACACACACAUCAUCCUGUGUGUGUCACAGUAUAAUUGGUUGUUGAUAUACAGUAUAUUGUUCUCAUUUGUAUAAACAGUUUAUUUAUUGAAAAGUUUAUUUGGUAAGAUAAUGAAAUAUAUUUUUGUCCACAUAAAUAAAAUGGUCUGAAAGCCCAGUGCAGGAAUUAACUGACUGAAGUGAACAUUAUAGUUCAUUGCACAGGAGUCAGAGGAAGGACACAGUGUAGAUAAUAUUAACCUGAAUAUAAACCUUCUUUAUAUAGUCUUGCUUCUCUUGAAUGAAAUAAAUUAAAUUAAGUAAUUGGUU